rnacentral:rRNA from 1 species
AGUGAACGCUGGCGGCGUGCUUAACACAUGCAAGUCGAACGGUAACAGGAACUAGCUUGCUAGUUUGCUGACGAGUGGCGCACGGGUGAGUAAUAUAUAGUUAAUGUACCCCAAAGACUGGGAUAGCCACUGGAAACGGUGAUUAAUACUAGAUACACCUCUUUAACAUAAGUUAGAGAGGGAAAUGUCUUUUCGCUUUGGGAUCAGACUAUAUCCUAUCAGUUAGUUGGUGAGGUAAUGGCUCACCAAGGCAAUGACGGGUAGCGGGUUUGAGAGGAUGAUCCGCCACACUGGUACUGAGACACGGACCAGACUCCUACGGGAGGCAGCAGUGAGGAAUAUUGCACAAUGGAGGAAACUCUGAUGCAGCAACGCCGCGUGGAGGAUGACGCAUUUCGGUGUGUAAACUCCUUUAUAUGUCAAGAAAAUGACGGUAGCAUAUGAAUAAGCACCGGCUAACUCCGUGCCA